UUCUCUCUCUUUCACUUGCAGCCUACAGAGCCAAGAGAGCCGUUGGCCAAGGCACAGUUGGGUGAGAAGAACUUCUUUGGGCAUAAAGAAAGACCAUUGCUGAACUGCAUCAACCAAAGAAAUGGAGCAAGAUUUUUACUUGAAUGAAAAAAAGGGAAUGCCACCUAGAAAGGCCAUGCUAUACAACUGGAAAAGAUUUACCUCCAGCGAAUGUCUUCAGCAGGAGCCCUUCGGCCACAUAAUUUUGACCCUGACAUGAGGUGGUGGUGUCUACACCACUGUGGCCUCCGAUACCCCAAAGGGACGCCUUCAGCUCUACCUCUCUCUGUACCAGAGAAGAUGGGGCUCUGCUGGGGAGAGAAAGAAACCAAAGCUAAAGGAAUAAGCUGGGACUGACCACCUGGAUGGGCUUUGAGGUCCCUUCCGAACCAAACCAUUCCAUGACUCUGUGAUUCUACGUAUGGGUGAACGAAGGUUCCUUACUUUUUCUGCUUUGAGAAAAAAAUCUGGUAAUGAACACAGGAAUAAAAUAAUGUAUUGUCAAAGAGUGGCAGGGUGGAAAGGAUGCAGCAGGAGAAGUGAGCAGGCAGGGGAGCCAAAGGCUGCCUUUCCUCCUGCUCUCUCAGCCCCAGUCCCUGCUGCCCUGAUAACAGCAGUCCUUGCUCCUGUGCACACGUGCACCUCUGCAUGCUUGGGGUCACCAGGGGACUGGGUGCAAUGUGUGUGCCCCAAAGGAUGGUGAGUAGCAGUUAUACAGCUUUGUGGUAUGGCUUGGGCUUGGAAAUGCAAUGUUCCAUUGAGGUUUGGAGACCCAGCGUACGUGCCUGGCUGCUGGCUCCUGUCAAGACCCACAGUGCUGUACGUUUAGUGCUGCUGUUACUCGUGCCAUCUGUAUGGAGCUGUGUAGUGUCCUAAUCUUUGUUGCUUACCUGCCCAGACAUAUUCUCAAUUGAAAUUAAAAUGCAUAUUCCUGCAAUACAUUCUUUUUCUCUCUGCCACUCAUUGCACUAACUUCAACCCUGGUAAGUUCUGAAGGGAAAGGUAUUUUUGCACGUGGCAGAAUGUACGGAGAAAGGGCAAACCUAGGUGAAGUAAAUCAUAUCCCAGAUAACAACCUUCAAAAGAUGGUGAAUUUAUUGGUAAUUAAAGUGGAAACCUCACAUGUGAAUGAUCUUCUAUGGACAAAACUGAAUAUUGAGUGCUGGGUCUGCACUCCUGAUCCCGGAGGAGAAUUGUGUUGAGAUAAGGGUGUCACCUUCCAGCCUCUGGAAGAUCCAGUCCACCCCUGUGAGGGAAAAUCUUCAUCAGAGAUGAAGGCUCUGCCAGUGUCAGUGGGUACCGGUGAUCUUGGCUCUGCUCACGUUUCAGGGGGUUAUGUCAUCCUGAGCGCAGCCAAAGCUUUGUGUCAACACAGGGUGAACCCAGGCUGCUUAUCUUGGCAUGUGCUGCAUUCUUGAAGUUUUCCUGCUUUUCAUGUUCAUGUGGGCAAUGGUACGGUCUUAAUAAGGAGGUUUUUCUCAGCUUCUAGGAGAUCCCUUCACUUUCAGCAGGCACCAUGGGUGGAGGUCACACUGGG